rnacentral:rRNA from 1 species
CAAUAGCUACUUGCAUCAUAGUUAAUAUGACGCAAGCUCGACUAAGUUGAAUAAAAUUCUAGGUAGAAUUAUGAUAAUGACAUUGUCUGCCUAUGUGUCUUGACCAAAUUACGUGCCAGCAGUCGCGGUAAUACGUAGAAGACUAGUGUUAUUCAUGUUUAAUCGGUUUAAAGGGUACCUAGACGGUGAAUCAAGCUUUCGUGUAAAUAAUAAAAACCAGAAAAUCCAGAUUAUAUAAGAAACUUAUUUACAUAUGAUAAGGACUAAUUUACUAGAGUUACUUAUGAGGGGGUAUUAAAGUACUGCUGGUGUAGAGAUGAAAUUCUGUCAUACCUCUUUUCGAAAGAAAAAUCAUGGCACAGGUAUAGGCGAAGGCAUCCCCUUAUGUGCUAACUGACGUUGAGGGACGAAGGCUUCAUGUAACAAACAGGAUUAGAUACCCUAGUAGUUGAAGCAGAAAAUGAUGAAUGUCAUAGAUUAGAUAUCUAAGUUUAUUCUAUAAAUGAAAGUGUAAGCAUUCCACCUCAUGAGUAAUUUGGCAACAUUGGAAUUGAAAUCAUUAGACCGUUUCUGAAACCAGUAGUGAAGUAUGUUGUUUAAAUUGAUAACCCGCAAAAAACCUUACCACAAUUUGAAUAUUUAUAUCUUUUAUUGUUUUCAUCUUAAUUUUCUUAUGAUUUUAGAAAUAAAAAUAAAAAAUAUUAAGAACAAGGCAAUAA